GCUUACGGCCACACCGCCUGUUUCACGCCCGAUCUCGUUUGAUCUCGGAAGCUAAGAUAAGUUGGGCCUGGUUAGUACUUGGAUGGGAGACCGCCUGGGAAUACCAGGUGCUGUAAACU
ensembl:rRNA 5S_rRNA 5S ribosomal RNA